rnacentral:rRNA from 1 species
GACGAACGCUGGCGGCGUGCCUAACACAUGCAAGUUGAGCGCUGAAGGAUGGUACUUGUACCAACUGGAUGAGCAGCGAACGGGUGAGUAACGCGUGGGGAAUCUGCCUUUGAGCGGGGGACAACAUUUGGAAACGAAUGCUAAUACCGCAUAAAAACUUUAAACACAAGUUUUAAGUUUUAAAGAUGCAAUUGCAUCACUCAAAGAUGAUCCCGCGUUGUAUUAGCUAGUUGGUGAGGUAAAGGCUCACCAAGGCGGUGAUACAUAGCCGACCUGAGAGGGUGGUCGGCCCAAAUGGGAAUGGAGAACGGGCCAAAACCCUACGGGGGGGAGCAGGAGGGGAACAUUGGACAAGGAGGGAAGGCUUACCGAGGAACGCCGCGUGAGGGGAGGAGGGUCUCGGGUCGUAAAACUCUGUUUGUAGAGAAGGAAGUGGAUGAGGGUGAAAAGCUCAUCAAGUGACGGUAACUACACAAAAAGGGACGGCUAACUACGUG